rnacentral:lncRNA from 1 species
AAACAUGAGGAAAGAUAAUAGUCCAGCAAUGCGCUCAUAAUAAUUCCCACAUACCUGCUUCCCAAAGUUGAUUCAGAUGCUACUUUGUUUUAAAAGCUAUCCUAUGUACCAGCAAUUUUCAAUAGUGAUCCUAGGCAGUUACUUAGGUUGAUUAUAGCAAUUUUGCUACAUCAUGAUAUAGCAAAUUGCUAUAUUUUUGCUAUAUCAUGCUAUAUUAUGAUUGCGGUCUUUUUAUUUUCCAAAUCUUUAAUUCAUUUUAAAAGAAAGGUUUGUUCCAGGAUGGCAAAUACAGUGGUUGAAGCUGGGGGCAUGAUGAUAAAAGAACUCUAGAACUUCAGGAUUCUCCAUUGUUCUGGCAUUGCUGCCCACCAGCAGAGGAUCAGGCUGACAUCUUCAGGAGGCAUAUGGAGGUAAUGGUUAACUUUGCUACAGUGAAGACCAAGGUAAAUUGGGUGCACUGAAGAGAAAAACCUGACCACUUCUGCAGCUGUGCAUCUGGAGUCUGAGUUGUACUGCGACAUUAGCUCUUUUGACUAGAUGUGAUGACAGACUGUCUUUGGUCCAUUCUCUUUUAUUGCCUUGGAAGAGAAUAAAUGAGGAGUAGUUCUCACCCAUUGCAGCUGAGGCAUCACACCUGUAAUGGGAUUAACAAGAUGAUAAUAUAUCUUUUGCCAAGACCACAUACUAGCAGAAGAAUUCCAAAUGUGCUACCAUCCAUGUAGUUUUACUUGAAAAACCCCCUUGGAAAUUAACAAUAAGGCACUGACUGGAGCUGAAUUUGCAAAUGUUUUAGGAAGAAACUUUAUCUCAGACUACCCUUGAUGUAUCAAAAUAUUUAAAGCAAUUGGCAAAGGCAGUGAGCAAUUCACUCUCAGGCACAUGAAUAUCACCGGGAGAGGGCUGAAUGUUCAGAUAUGCAAGAGGGAAAGCUAAAGCACACAAGUCCUUUUAGACCCAGGCUCAGAAGUGAUACACCGUCUCUUUCAACUCAUUCUAUUGGCCAAAU